rnacentral:lncRNA from 1 species
UUUUUGUUGUUGUUACUUGUUUGUUGUAUUAUCAAUUUGAAUCAUGUAGAUGAAAAAACAUGCCAGUCAGGACAAAGGAUUUAAAAGCGAGACCAAGUAAAUUGCAAGGCCGGGAGUGGUUUACAUACAAUGAAGAAGAAAGAAGUAACUUUCAGUCCAAAAAGAAUGCAUAACUAACACAUCCAUGAACCUCACUGAUUCUACCGAAUGCGAAUACUUGAAUGGG